rnacentral:lncRNA from 1 species
GCUCCGUCGUCUCCAACGCCGCGCUUUCCUCCGCAGACGGUGUUGCGGCGUCGCCACCGUACAAGGGCUUCGGUCCGCCGGAGUUCAUGUCCAUGCAGCCGUCGUCGGUGGUGAAGACGACGGGCUGCGGCGCUGCGACGACCUCCUCCAAAGCGAAGUAAGGAUCCCCGUCCGAGACUUGGCGGUGGUAGUAGUAGCAGCAGUCUGCCGCCUUCAGCUCCGGCGAAGUCCUCGGCAGCUCCUCGGAGUGGGCAUAGCUAUUCUCGGCGGCGCUGCGGUCCAAGGACCAGUCUCCGGCGAGGGACUGGGAGAAGGGGACCACCGGGAAUCGCUGGUGGCGGCGGGAGAGGGUGCUGGCGGAGUGGACGUCGGAGUCGCAGGCCGCGCAGAGCGCCGCCGCGUCGGCCUUGCAGACGACGGUGGCGGGCGCCUGCUCGCAGAUCUCGCAAACCCACACCCGCUCGUGGCGGGCGGCGCCGCCGUGGAGGUGGCCGUCGCAGGCCGCGCAGAGGAAGGCGGCGUGAACCCGGCAGAAGAGCUGCGCCGGCGAGCCCCUGCAGGCGUCGCAGUAGCUCUUCACUCUCAUUUCCUCGCCCAUUCCCCCUCCCCCCUCC